rnacentral:lncRNA from 1 species
UUUAAGCUAUUUAUUAUCUCUGUAUUCUUACAGGAAGGAGACCAACGGGGAUGAAACCGCGCGGCGACAGCUAGUUAAGAAUAUGAGGACACCUGCGCAAUUAUUUGUUCAUAUGCAACUACAGGGUAUGAAAUAACCUAAAGGCAGGCGGUUUACACUAGAAGCAGGGGCGUAGCUCCCGCCGUAUCAGUACGGGGCUAUAAUGACCAUAAAAAAAGUUUAAAUUACAUAAACAUUGUAUUUGUUCAAUUUGUAGAAACAUCUGCCACUAUUAUUAAUGAAUAUCUAUUAAAAAAAUCCGUACUUCAUAGUUAAAAAAAAGAGUACUAAAAUAAAAUUAAAUGAGAUAAUAGCAUUUAAUUGUUUGGAUGGAUGUCAGAAGCAAAAAACAGAAAAUAUUGACGACACAAUCCCAAGCCGGAUUAAGACGACACUAUACGUUCCCGACCACGACGGGGACAUCGGUACUCUGCCCGUGGCACUAGUUGUCAAAAUCCCGCUUAUGAUGUCAAGUCAUUUUUGUGAGCAUGGUCCAUAAAAAAGGACAAACAGUAAACCUCCUGGAGUGCUUAUAGUCCUGGAAAUACUCCAGGAGCAAAUAAAACAAUCCUGACACACGAAAAGGAUUGCAUAUAUGACCGGAUCCAUCUACCUCAGGUUCUUCAGAAAUGCAGAACUGAGUGAGUUAUAGUCCUGGGAAUACCCCAGGAGCAAAUCAAAACAAUCCUGACACACGAAAAGGAUUGCAUAUAUGACCGGAUCCAUCUACCUCAGGUUCUUUAGAAAUGCAGAACUGAGUGAGUUAUAGGCCUGGGAAUACCCCAGGAGCAAAUCAAAACAAUCCUGACACACGAAAAAGAUUGCAUAUAUGACCGGAUCUAUCUACCUCAGGUUCUUCAGAAAUGCAGAACUGAGUGAGUUAUAGGCCUGGGAAUACCCCAGGAGCAAAUCAAAACAAUCCUGACACACGAAAAGGAUUGCAUAUAUGACCGGAUCCAUCUACCUCAGGUUCUUCAGAAAUGCAGAACUGAGUAAGGUACCACCAAGGUGGGAUCCUCCUUCCGCUCCAAAAAUGGCUACGGAAACAACUGAAACAAAUGUUACUGACGUAAAGAUACAAAACCGCCAGCAAAAACCAUAUCAGGGAAAACUGAACCCGAUCUUACAGCACCUGUACCAAGUGCACCACCCCCCUCGUAUGAAACACCAUGGGAAGGAUGUCGAGAGUCGGAGGAAGCGUACUCUGGCGACUCAGACUAUCAGACCAUCUAAACAAUCUUUUACAAGAGUCAAAACUGAAUUCACUUUCAAAAAUACAGUGCUGCAGGCCAACCUCUAGUAGAAACACCUGGCUGUAGCGGCUCUACGGCGACAGCUGGAGGUCAACGCUGACACCAUAGCCCUGAUCCGAAAUCCGUAGAUUCGGAAUAACACGGUAUGCGGACUCGGCUAUUGCAGCGCCGAUCGCCGCGCGUGCCGGAGGCCCGCCGAGCCUAUAGUGAUUAAUAAUGUUAUUUUGUGUAUUUUGCCAUCCUUGACGUAAAGUGUAGAACCUAGUCGAGACAUACCACGAUGUUUAAGUCAGUGAGAUUUAAUAUUCUCCGAUAUAUAUAAUUAACUUGUUCUUAUGUUAAUAAACAUAGUUAUGAAAUGAUCGAAUGCCAUGCCAUUCUCUACCCUUAUUUCUAAUUUGUUUGUUGGUGCAGUGCUCGUCUACAAGUAUAUCGACAUAAUAGAUUAAAUAUAUCUGUAAUAUAAUUGCAGAACUAAGACAACAAUUUUUCUGUCGGAUGUUUACACAUUGUGUAUAAAACAAUUUUUUUUUUUUAGUUAUUGACAGAGUGUUUCUCACAUAACUUAGUUGUAAUUGCAAAUGUUCGUGACAUGGAUGGCGUAAACAUGAGGGCGUUAAAUGCCUUAGGAUCCACGGUUGAUAGACCUUAUUUCAUUUAUAAUGACAAUAAAAUUGUAACUAUAAUGGAUCCUCCGCAUCUUUUAAAAUGUUUGAGGAAUUAUUUUCUCAAACACAACAUUAAGUGUCCAGGUAAUUUUGCAAAGAGUAUCAGGUACUUAUAUUUUUUUUAGAAAUGCAUUAAUUACUUUAUACUGGAAAAUAUUGAAGAAGCCUUUUGCAACUCUGACUAAUUUAUUUCUUUACUUGCACAUAGAAAAUGGGAGCACAUUAACGAGUUUUUUCACCAUGACAAUAACAAUCCGAAUUUUGUGUUUGCACCAGCACUCACAGAUUAACACAUGAAACCAAAUGGAAAACAAAAAAUUAAAGUGAAAUUAGAAGCGCAAGUUUUAAGCCAUUCAGCACGCAGCUGGGAUUUAUGCAAAAGUAGCCAGAAUUUUGAAGUCUGCACACUUCAACUCGGGGACCAUGAUCAUCGUCCAUCUAUACAAUAUACUCGUACGCACGGGAGGAGACGCGCGGGGAGCCGGAGGACGGCGCACAGCAGCGAAGGCGCGCCCCCGGACACAUUCACUCUGAAUUCGGAUUCCACUUACCGAUACACCUAUGUACUGAGUUUAAAUUAUAUGUAUAUUCCUUUCUAUACAGUCUUAUCAUUUUAUAUAAUAUACAACGUCCCAGUACCAACACACACAAUAUUCGAUACUUUCAAAGAAUAUAAUGACCAUAAAAAAA